GGGCCUCUGGCGCAACGGUAGCGCGUUGUAAGUUGCACUGUCUUCGCAAUCCAGACGUUUCAUAUUCUAACAAUUUCACAGCGACUCCAGAUCGAAAGGUUAUCCGUUCAAAUCGGGUGGGGCUCA